rnacentral:tRNA from 1 species
AGCAGCGUGGCUUAGUGGAAAGAGCAUCAGCUUGGGAGUCGGAGGUCAUGGGUUCGAAUCCCAGCUCCGCCA